GUGAGCUCCGAACUUGAGUGGGAGGAAUAGUUGCAGCCAGAGUUUCUUGAUCCAAAUGCAGCGAGAACAGCACUGAGGCAUGAAGACACAGAGCUGCAGCCGUGGAAGACGUCCAGCGGACAAACCGACUGUGAGGCCAUUGAGGAGACAAUCCAUUACGCCUCUCUGGGCCGACAGAACUGGAGGGAAAGACCCGGCAGGACUCCAGCAGAUCAGAGUGUGAUCUACUCGUCCGUCAUCACCAGACCUGCUGCCAGAUAGAAACUCAAAAAUCCAUGUCUUUAAACUGUUUUUACCCCAUAUGCAUUGUCUCUUUGUCUCAGAACAAACCAUCUUAGAUCAUCAGGGGUCUUCUGCUGGACCAUAUAUAGAUAUUUUAUUAAUCCCGAGGGAGAUUCAUCUCUGAUUUACCCACAAGUCUAUCUUAUAUAUCAACAUAUGUUUAGAAAAAUUGCCCGUUGACCCCAAAAAUGUUCCAAAACUAUGUCUGAAAUCAUCACAGGCUUUCUGCUUGUCAUCUCAUAUCCAUUAAACUUUUUAAAUCAUAAAAUAUAUAAAAUACUUUGCAAGACGAUUAAAAAAAAUAGUCCCAAAAAAUGUGCUAAAACAAUUUUAACACAUUUUCAAAAAACUUUUACCUUGACAUGUUUGAUAUCUUGAGCUAAAAUUUGUUGUUUUUAUUAAUAUCCAUAUUUCAUGAUAUAAGAAAAUGAGAAAAAUCAGAGAUGGUCAAGAAAAGAGUGUUGGUUUCAGAUGGAUUUACUAUUAAAGUGUGAAUUUUUAUUGUUCUAGUUUAAUGAACGUGUAAACCUGCCAGGAGCCCCAAACACAUGUAAAACGACAGGUUUCCAGAGAUGAACACAUUUUUAGUGAUUAUAAAUCAAUAUAUUUUCACAAAACACUUCAAAGUUGUAAAGUUAAAUAUAGUUUCAGCCCUAAAACUAUGAAACUCAGACUGUAAUAGUCUAUACAUGUAAAACGGCUUCAUCUCUAGUUUUUGUCUUUUUAUGAAUUUGAAAGUUUUCAAAGCUCCACAUUUCAAUAUUAAUAUAAAUAAACAUGAAUUUGGUGUAUACACAGAUGAGUGAUUUAAAAAAUCUAAAGCAUAAUUUCCAAACUCCAUUUUCUGACUAUUGGUUUCUGUAUAAAUGAUUUCAUGGAACAUGUUUUUAUCCUUUCAUUCUGCAGAUUGUUUCGUUCACAGCUAGAAAAUGUCAUCCAGUUUCCUCUAAAUGUCCGUCAACAGCAGAGUGAACUUUCAGGUUUUUGCUACUUUUGACAUUUGAAUGAAAUCAACUUAAGUCUUUAUUUCCCUUUAUUUAUCUGCACUAGUCUUUAUUUCCCUUUAUCUGCACUAAAGUCCUUAUUUCCCAUUAUUUAUCUACACGUCUUUAUUUCCCUUUAUCUGCACUAAAGUCCUUAUUUCCCAUUAUUUAUCUACACGUCUUUAUUUCCCUUUAUCUGCACUAAAGUCUUUAUUUCCCAUUAUUUAUCUGCACUAAAGUCUUUAUUUCCUAUUAUUUAUCUACACGUCUUUAUUUCCCUUUAUCUGUACAGACUUUUAGGGAUUGUAAUGUUGAGUCUCCUUUUCCCUCAUGUGCCAAAGAGCUUUAGCAAAUUAAUAUCUGAGGAAGUAAAAGUGAAAGAAAAUGACAAAGCUGAUCAUUCUGACCAGGUCACACCCUGAAAAUGAUCAGAUCCAAUAAGUUAACUUGUGUAAAUGUGCAGAGAAAUAAUAAAGUCAGAAAACAUACCUUUGUCUGAGGAAGCCGGAUGGUGUCGCUUCACACAGGAAACACCUGGAAAAAUGUAAAAAUAACACAAAUUUAAAUGUCCACAUGACAAAAAACAUAAACUCAGUCAAAGCAGGUUUAGGUUUGAGCCAUGAACC
ensembl:lncRNA